GAUGAACGCUGGCGGUAUGCUUAACACAUGCAAGUCGAACGGACUCUUCGGAGUUAGUGGCGGACGGGUGAGUAACGCGUGAGAAUCUGGCUUUGGGUUCGGGACAACCACUGGAAACGGUGGCUAAUACCGGAUGUGCCGAGAGGUAAAAGAGAAAUUGCCUGCAGAUGAGCUCGCGUCUGAUUAGCUAGUUGGUGAGGUAAGGGCUCACCAAGGCAGCGAUCAGUAGCUGGUCUGAGAGGAUGACCAGCCACACUGGGACUGAGACACGGCCCAGACUCCUACGGGAGGCAGCAGUGGGGAAUGUUCCGCAAUGGGCGAAAGCCUGACGGAGCAAUACCGCGUGAGGGAAGAAGGCUCUUGGGUUGUAAACCUCUUUUCUUAGGGAAGAACAAAAUGACGGUACCUAAGGAAUCAGCAUCGGCUAACUCCAUG
rnacentral:rRNA from 1 species